CAUGUCCUUUUGAGUUUAAUUUAAGGUCUGAUCUGCUCAAUGAAGAUUAAAUAGCCGCAGUAUUUUAACUGUGCAAAGGUAGCAUAAUAAUUAGUUUCUUAAUUAGGAACUGGAAUGAAUGAUUGGACAAGAGAAUAUCUGUCUCUUUUUUAAAUUUUUUGAAUUUUAUUUUUAAGUGAAAAAGCUUAAAUUUUUAUAAAAGACGAGAAGACCCUAUAGAGUUUUAUAUAAUUAAAUAAUUUAAAUUUGGGAAUAAAUUUUAUUUAAUUUUAUUUGGUUGGGGUGAUUUAAAGAUAAAAAUAAUUCUUUAAUUUGAGAAUUGGUGAUUUCUAAAUUUUAAAUCUAUAUUUUGUAAAAAUAAAAUAAAUUACCUUAGGGAUAACAGCGUAAUUUUUCUUUAAAGUUCACAUUAAAAGGAAAGUUUGCGACCUCGAUGUUGGAUUAAAAUUAAUUUUUGGUGCAAUAGCUUAAAAAUUAGGUCUGUUCGACCUUUAAAAUUUUACAUGAUCUGAGUUUAAAUCGGCGUGAGCCAGGUUGGAUUCUAUCUUUAGAAUGUUAAUAUAUUUUAGUACGAAAGGACCAAAUAUUUAUUAAAUUAAUU
rnacentral:rRNA from 1 species